rnacentral:rRNA from 1 species
GACGAACGCUGGCGGCGUGCUUAACACAUGCAAGUCGAACGAAAAGAGGGAAAGAGCUUGCUCUUUCCGGAAUUGAGUGGCAAACGGGUGAGUAACACGUAAACAACCUGCCUUCAGGAUGGGGACAACAGACGCAAACGACUGCUACUACCGAAUAAGUUACAAGAGCCGCAUGGCCCAUGGAAGAAAACGUGGCCUCUACCUGUAAGCUAUCGCCUGUAGAGGGGUUUGCGUCUGAUUAACUGGUUGGAGGGGUAACGGCCCACCAAAGCCACUAUCAGAAGCCGGACUGGGGGGAGGAACGGGCACACUGGAAACUGGACAAGGGCCAGACCCCUUACGGAGGCAGCAAGGGGGAAUCUUCCGGAAAGGGGGGAAGCCUGACGGGGCAGAGGCCGCGGAGGGAUGACGGCCCUCGGGAUGGAAAACUCUGUGAUCCGGGACGAAAAGGCAGAGUGCGAAGAACAAACUGCAUUGACGGUACCGGAAAAGCAAGCCACGGCUAACUACGUG